rnacentral:rRNA from 1 species
GGUGUAACCUGCCCAAUGAUCUUAAACUUAAAAAAUAUAACUAUUUUUAAAAAGAUUUAAAGGACGCAGUAUCCUGACUGUGAUAAUGUAGCAUAAUCAUUCGCCAUUUAAUUGAUGGAUAGUAUGAAUGGUUGAACGAAUUCUUCACUGUCUUAAAAAAAGAAAUAAUGAAAUUUAAAUAAUAGUAAAGAUGCUAUUUAAAAUUGUAAGACGAAAAGACCCUAUAGAGCUUAACUAUAAGUUCUUUUAGUUAAAAGAACAUAAUUCUCAAAAUAAAGAACUUGGUAGUUUAGUUGGGGCGACUAUCUUCUAAUAUUAACGAAGACAAGCAAAAUUAAUAUAUAAUUUAUUGUAUAACCUAUAAGUUUAACAAUUACAAAAGUAGGCAUAAUGACCCGUUUUCAUUUAGUAAUUAAAGAAAACGAUCAAUAAAUAAAAGCUACCUUAGGGAUAACAGGAUAAUUUUGUUUUAGAGAUCCUAUCGAAAACAAAGUUUGUCACCUCUAUGUUGAAUUAAGAUAUCCUAGUAAUGCAGAAGUUACUAAAGGUAGGUCUGUUCGACCUUUAA